GUCGUCGUCGUCGUCUGUCGUCGUUAACAAUUUUUCAAACAUCUUCUCCUCUGAAACUUCUGAAUGGAUUUGAAUGAAACUUAGCAUGAUUGUUCCUUAGAUUAUCCUGCACAAAGUGUGUGCUUCGAUUUUUGAUCCGUCAAAAAACAUGGCCGCUGUUACUUAAAAUAGAACAUAGGGGUCAAAUGCAGUUUUUGGCUUAUAUCUCAAAAACGAAAGCAUUUAGAGCAAAUCUGACAUGGGGUAAAAAUGUUCAUUAGGUCAAGAUCUAUCAGCCCUGAAAUUUCAGAUGAAUCAAACAAACCAUUGUUGGGUUGCUGCCACUUAAUUGGUAAUUUUAAGGAAAUUUUGCAGUUUUUGGUCAUUAUCUUGAAUAUUAUUAUAGAUAAAGAUAAACUGUAAACAGCAAAAAUGAUCAGCAAAGUAAGAUCUACAAAUAAGUUAAUAUGACCAAAAUUGUCAAUUGACUCCUUAAGGGGUUAUUGUCCUUUAAUGACAAUUUUUCACAAUUUGUUCAUCAUAUUUGCUAACUUUAAAAAAUCUUCUCCUCUGAAACUACUGAAUGGAUUUGAAUGAAACUUAGCAUGAUUGUUCCUUAGAUUAUCAUGCACAAAGUGUGUGCUUCGAUUUUUGAUCCGUCAAAAAAUAUGGCCGCCGUUACUUAAAAUAGAACAUAGGGGUCAAAUGCAGUUUUUUGGCUUAUAUCUCAAAAACGAAAGCAUUAAGAGCAAAUCUGACAUGGUGUAAAAAUGUUCAUUAGGUCAAGAUCUAUC
rnacentral:lncRNA from 1 species